GAUGAACGCUGGCGGCGUGCCUAACACAUGCAAGUCGAGCGAGAAGCUCAUGACGGACGCUUCGGUUGAAGUCACGAGUGGAAAGCGGCGGACGGGUGAGUGACGCGUAGGCAACCUGCCCUUUGCAGAGGGAUAGCCUCGGGAAACCGGGAUUAAAACCUCAUAAUACCGCAGUGAGACAUCUCACGGCGGUCAAAGAUUUAUCGGCAAAGGAUGGGCCUGCGUCUGAUUAGUUAGUUGGUGGGGUAACGGCCUACCAAGGCGACGAUCAGUAGCCGACCUGAGAGGGUGAUCGGCCACAUUGGAACUGAGACACGGUCCAAACUCCUACGGGAGGCAGCAGUGGGGAAUAUUGCACAAUGGGGGAAACCCUGAUGCAGCAACGCCGCGUGAAGGAUGAAGGCCUUUGGGUCGUAAACUUCUGUUCUAAGGGAAGAUAG
rnacentral:rRNA from 1 species